rnacentral:lncRNA from 1 species
GUUGGAGCGACAAAAAUAAUAGGAGGAGAGUCUUUCUUUCUUACAUCAAAAAUUCUUCCCAACGCCUCCUCCUCCCUUCUCCCCUUCAUCCAAUGCCCAGAUCUAAUAGAGAUCAGAUCUAAGAGAAAAAAAAAGAGAAAAAAGAAGAGAAGGAGAAGGGUUCUUCUUCUCUUCAUGGUGAUCUGGUUCAGAUUCCGUCGAAUCUAUGC